UAUAGGGUGCCUGAAAAAGGGUAAUUUUGAUAGAAUUAAUCAUGUGUCCACAACACCCCUAUAA
rnacentral:tRNA from 1 species